AACAUCUUGAUGUCACCAAAACAAGAUAUGGCAAUCCAGCUGUGGAAUACGUUGUAUUCUGCACCCAGACCCAGAGUGCAUAAAUAUGAACUGCCAAAGCACCUUCAGGGUGGAUCUUCCCAAUUUCCCACUUCCUGUCCUGCCAUGGCAUGGCACAAGUUGGAGGUUCAUCGGAUGAGGUUUCAGGGACGGAUGUGAUACCAGGAGAAGAAAGGGAAGCCAAAACUCCAGGCAUUUUCCCACUAUGGUCGGUGUUAGAGGAUACAUUUUUCAUGAAUGGCCGGAGUGCCUUUAUUAAUGGUUCAUUCA